rnacentral:ncRNA from 2 species
AGCAUACAGACAGAAUCAGGUGCCCGGAAGGGCAUAAUAGGGAAGACCGGUGUAAUGCCGGCGCGGUCCCGCCACUGUAAUGGGGAGCAAGCUUAAGAUAUGCCACUGGGAUGAAGCGUCCUGGGAAGGUUUAAGCAAGCCAUGAUCCGGAGCCAGGAGAACUGCCUGAUUAACAGUCACCGU